AUUGAACGCUGGCGGCAGGCCUAACACAUGCAAGUCGAACGGUAACAGGAAGAAGCUUGCUUCUUUGCUGACGAGUGGCGGACGGGUGAGUAAUGUCUGGGAAACUGCCUGAUGGAGGGGGAUAACUACUGGAAACGGUAGCUAAUACCGCAUAACGUCGCAAGACCAAAGAGGGGGACCUUCGGGCCUCUUGCCAUCGGAUGUGCCCAGAUGGGAUUAGCUAGUAGGUGGGGUAACGGCUCACCUAGGCGACGAUCCCUAGCUGGUCUGAGAGGAUGACCAGCCACACUGGAACCGAGACACGGUCCAGACUCCUACGGGAGGCAGCAGUGGGGAAUAUUGCACAAUGGGCGCAAGCCUGAUGCAGCCAUGCCGCGUGUAUGAAGAAGGCCUUCGGGUUGUAAAGUACUUUCAGCGGGGAGGAAGGGAGUAAAGUUAAUACCUUUGCUCAUUGACGUUACCCGCAGAAGAAGCACCGGCUAACUCCGUG
rnacentral:rRNA from 1 species